UACGUAGGGGGCAAGCGUUGUCCGGAAUCAUUGGGCGUAAAGAGCGUGUAGGCGGCCCGAUAAGUCCGCCGUGAAAGUCCAGGGCUCAACCCUGGAAUGCCGGUGGAAACUGUCGGGCUGGAGUCCGGAAGAGGCGAGUGGAAUUCCAGGUGUAGCGGUGAAAUGCGUAGAUAUCUGGAGGAAUACCGGUGGCGAAGGCGGCAUCCUGGACCGACAUUGACGCUGAGGAGCGAAAGCUAGGGGAGCAAACGGG
rnacentral:rRNA from 1 species